rnacentral:sRNA from 1 species
UCUCCAUAGUGUGCUAGGCCCAAGAUGGAC